UAAUGAACAGAACGCUUCAAAAAUUCUGCAAAAUUUAAGGUUAUCCGAUAGUCAGCAAAAUUCUUUGUGUUUGGGUUUUUCUGAUAGAAAAUGAAAAUCUAUUUCAGGAAAUUUCAUAGAUCGGAUCCCUACUUGGAGUGGAUAAUAUUAGCUUCGCUUGGAGUUAUACUACACAUACUGAAUAUCCAAAUAACAGAUUUAUGUUUUCCAAGUAAAUAUUUGUUUCGGAACACCUACACCUGCACGAUGGUAUGCUGUUCUUUGUUGAUGUUAAGCUGUUUGCAUGUCAGGUUACCGGAUAAUAUUCCGAAACCCAUCAAAAUCUACACACGGAUCUCUAAAUACUUUGUGUUCUUGAUAAUAUCUGAAUUCUUUUUAAAAGUCAUGACAAUCCCAGCUUUUAUGUUUGCAAAAUUUAUAUUAGUAAACCUGUCGUUCGAAGUGGUUUUAAAUUUUAUAAGGAAAUACUUCAUAUUCCGAUGGAUUUUUAACUUGAUCAAUUUUACCAUUAUGUUUAUUAUCAAUAGCUAUGUUUUGCUUCUCGCUUACCAAUCCAUUGGAUUGAAAAGAAUAUUAGAAAGCAAUUUCAUCCGUUACGUUAAGUGCAAGGCUCUAUUGAGUAGAAAGCCUACGGAUUCUUUUUGGUAUGUGAUUUUGGAAUUUCUGGAUAUAGAUCUAUUUGCCAAACCACCAAAUUUAAAUCAUGCCGAUCCAGUAACUCGAUGCAUAAUAUUAAAGGCAUUUAGAAUACACCGACGUAGACUAAAUAAUCGUCGAAUUCGUUCUACAGAUUUCUUCAGGGACUAAACCAAAUUGCAAACCCAAAGUUUUAGAUAUUUAAAAAAGCAAUUAGAAGAAACUUAGAAAUUGAAAAAUGGAAACAUGGGUAACAGGAAUAGAUUUUAUGUUGGUGAAGGAGAUGUCAGUUGACUGAAAUUACAAGUCCUUGACUAUUGGUUCUUUUUUUAUUCAUAGAGAAGUUAUUACAAGAUGAUGAUGACAAGAUAAAACAUCUAAAAAUCUACAAUUUAUAGGAUUCAAUAGUGUUGUAUCGGCUUUAAGAUAGUUUUGACGAAUCUUGGAAGUUGGAAUCUUGUGAUAACCUUAGUUAGAAUCGAAAAACCUGUACCAGUACUUUUUUUAAUCACUUAAACAUAAUUGUAUUAUUAUAAUGUAGGAAAAAUUUAAUUUUAAAAAUAA